GGGUGAAACAUCAGUUCCCAUAUGAUCACUGAAGUUAAGCAACAUUGAGCUUGGUCAGUACCUAGAUGGGUGACUGCUUGGGAAUAUCGGGUACAGUA